AAAGAACGCUAGCAACGAAUUUAACACAUGCAAGUCAAUGUUCUUACAUGGCGAACGAGUGCGUAAUAGAUCGGAAUCUCCUUGAAAAUAGGGACUAAAUUCUAAUCCCCUAUACCCAAAGAGUGACUCGUUUUCAAAAGAGCCGAUCCAGGCGAGGUAGUUGGUGAGAGAAUAGCUUACCAAGCCAAUGACCCUUAGCUGGUCUUAACGGACGAUCAGCCACGAUGGUACUGAAACACCGACCAUUCUCAGAAAUUUUCCGAGGCAGCAGUGGAGAAUCUUGGACAAUGGGCGAAAGCCUGAUCCAGUUACGUUGCGUGGGGUCUCCCUUUCGUCAAGGAAGAUGAUGACCCAACUUGAAAAAGAAGUCCUGGCUAACCUCGUGCCAGCAGUCGCGGUAAGACGAGGAGGACAAGCGUUAUUCAGUGUCACUAGGCGUAAAGCUCAUUUAGGUGGUUAGAACUAAAUCAAACCUUGAGGGUUCCUCAAGAAAAGAUGCUAACUAGAGUACUCAAAAAGAGAGGAGAAUUCCCUAAGUAGCGAUAAAAUGCAUUGAUCUAGGGAGGAAGACCAAAGGCGAAGGCACCUCUCUUCCAAGUACUGACACUGAGAUGAGAAAGUGUGGGGAGCAAAUGGGAUUAGACACCCCCAGUAGUCCACACCCUAAACGAUGCUCAUUCCAUCUCUUCAUCCAGAUCUAAGUUAA
rnacentral:rRNA from 1 species